rnacentral:rRNA from 1 species
AAUGAACGCUGGCGGCGCGCCUAAUACAUGCAAGUCGAGCGAGAAGACGUAGCAAUACGUUUGUAAAGCGGCGAACGGGUGAGGAAUACAUGGGUAACCUACCCUCGAGUGGGGAAUAACUAGCCGAAAGGUUAGCUAAUACCGCGUACGCUCCUUGGACUUCGGUUCAGGGAGGAAAGCGAUACCGUGGGUAUCGCGCUCUUGGUUGGGCUCAUGUCCUAUCAGCUUGUUGGUGAGGUAACGGCUCACCAAGGCUUCGACGGGUAGCUGGUCUGAGAGGACGAUCAGCCACACUGGCACUGCGACACGGGCCAGACUCCUACGGGAGGCAGCAGUAAGGAAUAUUGCGCAAUGGGCGAAAGCCUGACGCAGCGACGCCGCGUGGGGGAUGAAGGUCUUCGGAUUGUAAACCCCUUUCGGGAGGGAAGAUGGAACGAGCAAUCGUUCGGACGGUACCUCCAGAAG